rnacentral:tRNA from 1 species
GGUGGGGUGGCAGAACUGGGAUUGCGCCGGCCUCGAAAGCCGGUGGCCUUUAAGGCCGUGAGGGUUCGAAUCCCUCCCCCACCG